AAGCCAGCCAAUGGAUCUGCUUAUCUGAAUGCAUUUCUGCAGAAAUUUAGAAACAGCUGGUAAUAGUGAUACCAUUCUAUGAGCCUUAAGAACUAAGGUCAUUACAGUCCUUCAAAAUAGCUACAAUA